GCGGCAUUACGCCGCCCACGCUCCCCCAUGCUGACUCCAUUAUUCAGCAGAACGCAGCCAGGCCAGAAGAAGCUUCCUGCCAUGCUGGAUGAAGGAUGGGCAACACACCUUGCAGACCUCAGCCCCUUUCUACGUGCCGUGCGGGACACAUUGGCUGCUCUCUGGAUAAGCGGCUUCAUCAGAGAAAUCUCAUGAGAGCAUCGGGCAGGAUUGGAGCAGCGCCUGUCCUGAGCAGGGAGGAACAAUCCCUUCUGUGGCCCUCAGCACGAGCAGCAAAAUCCCAAAGCUAUCUGAGGCUGAGCACAGCCUUUGGGGGCACCUCCACCCGCCCCAGAGACGUUGCAAGUAGGCAUAAUUUUCUCUAGUGGUAGAAACUGAGCUAAAACGCAGCCAACAGCUCAAGGUCAGAGCAUCCCUGCCAGCUUGUCCUUGGGACUGCAGAGCCCCUGCCCUACACCUCAAGGCAGAGCUCUGCAUCAGGCCGUGCAUUCCCCUUCUCUCCUCCACAGCCACUCCACGCUGUUGGUAUUCAAGUUCCAAACCAUUAAAAGAAAAAGUUCCUAACAAGCUCGAGUGCAGUGACCUCAUUCCGCAUGCAGCAGCCUCGUGUGUUGCAGCAGAUAUUUUAUUCUUCCCAUAUUAGAGGUGAAAAGCGUGUAUUUAGGGAAGGCACCACGGUGUGAGACGUCAGGAAGGAUGGCAGGGAGUCAGCUUUCCCUUCCCUGGAGGAGGCUGUCCUCUCUGCUCACAGCCUGCUCACCCACGCACCCCACUGCCAACACAACUCAAUCCAUGGGGCAAACUGAGGCAGGCGGGCUCACGGGGCCACGUUUCUGCUGCUUGUGUGGCUGUGCUCCAUUGCCAGCUCAGCUCUGGGGGCAGUUUGCAGCAGCAGCAUUCACGCACCCUGCGUGGACGGGGCCAGAUCCCAAGCUAAAGCUCAGCUCCUCCACCCCCUGCAGCCUUCAAAGGCUCACACUGCACCAGCUUCAUUCACCCCUUUCAUCCA
rnacentral:lncRNA from 1 species